UUGCUGCCUGUGUCCUCCUCAAGGAUUUUGAUGGAUUCCUUUCUCACAUUGAGAGUCAAGCUCCAAGAACAAAAACAGAUGAUCAGAUUGAUCCAGGGUGUGGGAAGGCAGCAAGUCAAAGCUAUAACCAUGCUAAUUGUGUGAUUCUCAGGAAUGACCAUGCUUGGAUCCAGGAAUAACUUAUCAAGACUAGCUCCACAGAAUUGAAUUGAGAAAGAAGGGUGAUAUUUUAAAAAUUCUGUGUCCCAAUUCUGAUGGAGAGCACCAAGAUCAGAAUAAUUGGGAAAACAGCAUAUUCAUGGUUGAAUAUCUUAACAUUGUAAAUUUGU